rnacentral:rRNA from 1 species
CUCAGGAUGAACGCUGGCGGCGUGCCUAACACAUGCAAGUCGAGCGAUUCUCUUCGGAGAAGAGCGGCGGACGGGUGAGUAACGCGUGGGUAACCUGCCUCAUACACAUGGAUAACAUACCGAAAGGUAUGCUAAUACAGGAUAAUAUAAGAGAUUCACAUGGAUUUCUUAUCAAAGCUCCGGCGGUAUGAGAUGGACCCGCGUCUGAUUAGCUAGUUGGUAAGGUAACGGCUUACCAAGGCGACGAUCAGUAGCCGACCUGAGAGGGUGAUCGGCCACAUUGGAACUGAGACACGGUCCAAACUCCUACGGGAGGCAGCAGUGGGGAAUAUUGCACAAUGGGCGAAAGCCUGAUGCCAGCAACGCCGCGUGAGUGAUGAAGGCCUUCGGGUCGUAAAACUCUGUCCUCAAGGAAGAUAAUGACGGUACUUGAGGAGGAAGCCCCGGCUAACUACGUGCCAGCAGCCGC